rnacentral:rRNA from 1 species
GUAGGUGGCAAGCGUUGUCCGGGAAUUAUUGGGGCGUAAAGCGCGCGCAGGCGGUUCUUUAAGUCUGAUGUGAAAGCCCACGGGCUCAACCGUGGAGGGUCAUUGGAAACUGGAGAACUUGAGUACAGAAGAGGAAAGCGGAAUUCCACGUGUAGCGGUGAGAUGCGUAGAGAUGUGGAGGAACACCAGUGGCGUAGGCGGCUUUCUGGUCUGUAACUGACGCUGAGGCGCGAAAGCGUGGGGAGCAAACAGGAUUAGAUACCCUGGUAGUCCACGCCGUAAACGAUGAGUGCUAAGUGUUAGGGGGUUUCCGCCCCUUAGUGCUGCAGCUAACGCAUUAAGCACUCCGCCUGGGGAGUACGGCCGCAAAGGCUG